GCACUACUGACGAGUCCCAAACAGGACGGAAAACAGCUGUCCAGUGC
rnacentral:hammerhead_ribozyme from 1 species